UUGAAUGAACGAAGGGUUGUCGCUGGCUCUUAGGAGCAUGUGCACGCUUUUCAAAAUUCAUCUCAACCACCUGUGCACCUUUGUAGACUAUGAUAGCACUCAAUCCUCGGAUUGGAUAGAGGAAUAUGCGUUCAGCUGUUCCUCAAUUUCAUGGUCUACGUUUUACUAUAUACUAUAUUGUCCAGAAUGUCUGUUAUUAGGUCUUGUACCUAUAAACUUAAUAC
rnacentral:misc_RNA from 1 species